GCGGGUGUAGCUCAGUUGGUUAGAGUGCCGGCCUGUCACGCCGGAGGUCGCGGGUUCGAGCCGUCACUCGCGCCA
rnacentral:tRNA from 1 species